GACGAACGCUGGCGGCGUGCCUAAUACAUGCAAGUCGAGCGCUUAUAUCUCCUUCGGGAGAUAUGGGAGCGGCGGACGGGUGAGUAACACGUGGGCAAUCUGCCCCUUAGACUGGAAUAACGCCUGGAAACGGGUGCUAAUGCCAGAUAGAGCAUCUUGGAGGCAUCUUCGAGAUGGGAAAGGUGCUACGGCAUCGCUAAGGGAGGAGCCCGCGGCGCAUUAGCUAGUUGGUGAGGUAACGGCCCACCAAGGCGACGAUGCGUAGCCGACCUGAGAG
rnacentral:rRNA from 1 species